rnacentral:rRNA from 1 species
GACAGAGGGUGCAACCGUUGUUCGGAAUUACUGGGCGUAAAGCGCGUGUAGGCUGCUCAGAAAGUCGGAUGUGAAAGCCCUGGGCUCAACCUAGGAAGUGCAUUCGAAACUUCUGAGCUGGAGUUCUGGAGAGGAAGGCGGAAUUCUCGGUGUAGAGGUGAAAUUCGUAGAUAUCGAGAGGAACACCGGCGGCGAAGGCGGCCAUCUGGACGAGGACUGACGCUGAGAUGCGAAAGCGUGGGGAGCAAACAGG